rnacentral:rRNA from 1 species
UACGUAGGGGGCAAGCGUUGUCCGGAUUUAUUGGGCGUAAAGAGCGUGUAGGCGGCCAUACAGGUCCGUUGUGAAAACUCGAGGCUCAACCUCGAGACGUCGAUGGAAACCGUAUGGCUAGAGUCCGGAAGAGGAGAGUGGAAUUCCUGGUGUAGCGGUGAAAUGCGCAGAUAUCAGGAAGAACACCCGUGGCGAAGGCGGCUCUCUGGGACGGUACUGACGCUGAGACGCGAAAGCGUGGGUAGCAAACAGG